AGCAAGCAUUUAUGCUGGAGUGAGUAACAGAUUUUAUGAGGUCGGUCCAUCGUGUUGGAGAUCGUCCGCGUGAUCUUUUGCCCUCGACUUUCCCUUGCA